GUACGUACGUCAUAAUAAAA
rnacentral:miRNA from 1 species